rnacentral:rRNA from 1 species
UACGUAGGGUGCGAGCGUUGCCCGGAUUUACUGGGCGUAAAGGGCGCGUAGGCGGCUUGACAAGUCACUUGUGAAAUCUCCGGGCUUAACUCGGAACGGCCAAGUGAAACUGUCAUGCUAGAGUGCAGAAGGGGCAAUCGGAAUUCUUGGUGUAGCGGUGAAAUGCGUAGAUAUCAAGAGGAACACCUGAGGUGAAGACGGGUUGCUGGGCUGAUACUGACGCUGAGGCGCGAAAGCCAGGGGAGCAAACGGG